rnacentral:rRNA from 1 species
CCCUUAGAUGUUCUGGGCCGCACGCGCGCUACAAUGAUGAAUUCAACGAGUUUAUAACCUUGGUUGAAAAGCCUGGGUAAUCUUUUGAACUUUCGUCGUGAUGGGGCUAGACCCUUGCAAUUAUUGGUCUCCAACGAGGAAUUCCUAGUAAACGCAAGUCAUCAGCUUGCAUUGAUUACGUCCCUGCCCUUUGUACACACCGCCCGUCGCUACUACCGAUUGAACGGUUUAGUGAGGGCCUCGGAUUGGUCUCGGCCCGCUCUUUACCGGGCGGCGCCGUUGGUCGAGAAGACGCUCGAACUUGAUCGUUUAGAGGAAGUAAAAGUCGUAACA